AUGCAGCAGCAACAGCCCUCCAUCGCUCCCACCAUGGCGCUGCCGCCGCCGCUGCCGGCAACCUCGACCCAGGGCGCCCCAACGACGGCUCAGGGGGUGCCCAUCCACCAGGUUUGGUUCCCUCCAUCGCCAUCACUGCUACCGGCCUGGCUCGCCGAGUCCCUCGAGCCUGUCUACACGACGGCCUCCGGACAGCCGCACGUGCUGCCCCCGCAGGUGCCGCCCUCGGCCAUCCAGUUCGAUGGGCCCUCAGGCUCCGCUGACCCCUACGCCGGCAUCAACGGGCCCUUGUUCCAGGGUGGCCCUCUGAAGCUCACCUACUCGGCGGCGGCGUCCUCGCUGCUCCGCACCGAUGAGGUGUACCCCUCCGUCGUCCACGGCCAGACGCCGCCGCGCUUCUCCAAGCUUGAGUUUGCCACCUACGACGGCACCGUGGACCCCUGA
rnacentral:rRNA from 1 species